AAUCCUGCCGGUGAUGAGAUCCACCGUAAACCGCCCGCUGCUAAUGACUUCUACCCGGAA
rnacentral:ncRNA from 20 species